rnacentral:rRNA from 1 species
CUGGGUCCAACCUCCCACCCGUGUUUAUUAUACCUUGUUGCUUCGGCGGGCCCGCCGUAAGGCCGCCGGGGGGCUUCUGCCCCCGGGCCCGCGCCCGCCGAAGACAUCUCGAACUCUGUCUGAAGAUUGUAGUCUGAGUAUAAAUAUAAAUUAUUUAAAACUUUCAACAACGGAUCUCUUGGUUCCGGCAUCGAUGAAGAACGCAGCGAAAUGCGAUACGUAAUGUGAAUUGCAGAAUUCAGUGAAUCAUCGAGUCUUUGAACGCACAUUGCGCCCUCUGGUAUUCCGGAGGGCAUGCCUGUCCGAGCGUCAUUGCUGCCCUCAAGCACGGCUUGUGUGUUGGGCCCCGUCCUCCGAUCCCGGGGGACGGGCCCGAAAGGCAGCGGCGGCACCGCGUCCGGUCCUCGAGCGUAUGGGGCUUUGUCACCCGCUCUGUAGGCCCGGCCGGCGCUUGCCGAUCAACCAAAUUUUUAUCCRGGUUGACCUCGGAUCAGGUAGGGAUACCCGCUGAACUUAAG